AACGAACGCUGGCGGCAUGCCUAACACAUGCCAGUCGAACGAGACCUUCGGGUCUAGUGGCGCACGGGUGUGUAACGCGUGGGAACCUGCCCUUAGGUUCGGAAUAACUCCCCGAAAGGGGUGCUAAUACCGGAUAAUGUCUUCGAACCAAAGAUUUAUCGCCUUUGGAUGGGCCCGCGUUGGAUUAGCUAGUUGGUAGGGUAAAAGCCUACCAAGGCGACGAUCCAUAGCUGGUCUGAGAGGAUGAUCAGCCACACUGGGACUGAGACACGGCCCAGACUCCUACGGGAGGCAGCAGUGGGGAAUAUUGGACAAUGGGCGAAAGCCUGAUCCAGCAAUGCCGCGUGAGUGAUGAAGGCCUUAGGGUUGUAAAGCUCUUUUACCCGGGAUGAUAAGGACAGUACCGGGAGAAUAAGCUCCGGCUAACUCCGU
rnacentral:rRNA from 1 species